UUGGAAAUUAUUUACAUGAAGAAUUGUCCAUGUCACUGCCACAGACAGCAGCUCUGGACUGGGUGAGAGGGAGAUGCUGCAAUGAAUUCACGGGGCAGCUCAGCUGCUGUGAAUGCUGGGACAUCCCAUUAGCAUGCCAAAGCCAGAAUGGGAGAAGGAAUAGGAUGAAGGAUGGAAGGUUGGCACUCAGAAAUUCAGCAAAACCACUGCUUUCAUGAUCUGGGACAGAAAAGAGUUCUCCAGAAUGAUUUCAGGCCGUUGUAUAGCAACAGCUCCAAGUUGCCACAUAGGGCUGCAUUUGAACUGCUGACCUAGGAACAAAAUAAAUUAUGUGUAGGCUGAGGUAUGGGGAUGAGACAAUUCCAGUUUCUCAGGUUCUGAAGGAAUAAAAUGGUGACUGUAGGCAGUGGGUUUGGAGUCGAUGCUUCUCUUCCCAUCUUGCCUAUGGAUUCUUCUAAGCAGCUGUCUUUCAUGUGCAUGGCUCAUUUUGGAAGUCAGAUCAAAUGUGAGUUGUUGGGGAGAACUUUUAUUACUGAUUUCAGGCAGGAAAAUCACACCCUAGAAGAGGAGAAAGCCAACAGUGCCACGAGCUCCAUCCCCACCAAAGGACUGACGGUUCUUCUGUGGUGCAGAAACAUGUCGACUUUUCUCCCUACUUGGGAGAAUUAUUCGACCUACUGGUCUGACACAGUCAGGCAGACUGCUUGGCUUUGCAUCAUCUUGC